UGCCUAUUCUCCUAACAUGUAUCCUGGA
rnacentral:piRNA from 2 species